AUACGGAGGAGGCAAGCGUUGUUCGGAAUUACUGGGCGUAAAGCGCGCGUAGGCGGCUUAUCAAGUUAGGCGGGAAAGGCCUGGGCUCAACCCGGGAACUGCGCUUAAUACUGGUAGACUUGAGUCCGGGAGAGGGUGGCGGAAUUCCCAGUGUAGAGGUGAAAUUCGUAGAUAUUGGGAAGAACACCAGUGGCGAAGGCGGCCACCUGGCCCGGUACUGACGCUGAGGUGCGAAAGCGUGGGGAGCAAACAGGAUUAGAAACCCCGGUAGUCC
rnacentral:rRNA from 1 species